AGUGCAGGCAGGUGGAAUUUAAGAAAACGAGGGUGGAAAAUAUGCGACCUUGGAAACUAAGCUAGACAGCUGUCUUGGUUGCUUCAGAAUUCUUCAGUAGCUAACAAAGACAGUAUCUCAACUUUUGCUAGAAGCCCAUUAGAAUGGAAAGAAUCCAUUUGGGGCCUCUUAAGAGAUACUUAAGAGGGGAUUUAUGCCCCCUUUGUAAAUUCCGGUCUGUGUUAUGGAAAUUUGACUUUGUAUAGACUCAAAAAAAUUUUAAGGUACUGUGGGUGCCACACAUCUACACAUCUAACGCUAGGUGGCAACCUUGCCUCUUGUGCCACCAGCCAAAGCCGUGGUAUAAAAUCAUAAUUAAGGAAAUAAACCAUCAAAUCCCAGGCUUCCUUUGCCAGUUUUAUUUUAAUAUUGGCAUCCAGAUAUAACAAACAGCGAAGCCCAUCCUUAAAGGCAGGCCCAAAUUUGGGGAGCAUUAAAUGUGUACAGAUUCGAUUUUUAGCAGCAUUUACCUGCACCCCUGCAGCCUCACAAUUGUUAGAAUUCCCUUGCCUUCCUGGUGUGGAUUAAAGACUUGUUCCAGGUAUGGGGGAUUCUGUGGUGGACAAGAGACACUUUCUUCUGUGGAACUCGCACUGAAGUGCUAGAGGUAGACACUGAACAAGUAAAGGAAAAUAAUUUUAGAUAGUAACUGUAGUAGAACAAUGUCUGCAUAAUGUAAUAGCAACUAGGCAUGAGGGGUAAGGGCUGGUUGUGAGAAAAGGCCUCAGAGGAGCUUUUAUGUGACCCAAAGCCCAAAUGAGGCUUUGUGGUAUUAAAGAAAUAGAAAGAAGCUAGGGUGGCUGGAGCAUGGGGGGAAGCAGGAAGAGCAGGACACGGGGCUGGAAGACAGGCAGGACUCAGACCACAGAAGGUCAGCUGGCCGAGGAAGGAGACAGGGUUGUACUCCAAGCCAGGGAGGAGGCACGGGAGGAUGGGUUAGAAGGUGAAGGGGCCUGAGUUCACCCCCACAAUUUACACUAUUGGGGGUAUCUCAGCUUCUUCACAGCCCUCACAGUGGACUGCCCCUUAGGAUAGCAGAUUUAUUUGACAUGGCUCCCACCCAAGGACCUCCCAGCCAAGAACGGACAAGCACACCCCCAUGAAGGCAUCCUUUUGAGUGUGGAUCCCUGCACAGAAAAGGCAUGAGCAGAGAGAAAAAUCAAUUUCUGGAAACACUAAACACUGUGGAAAACAUUCAUUUCCCACUGAGAAAGUAUUUAAACCCACAAACCUCCUGUAUACCAGGAAGACAAACAAAAGAGGUAGAAUUUUCCCAUCAUGAUAGGCACAGAUCAAAUUCAGGCUCAAGGACACCGGAGUUCUGCCUGGCUCUCCUUGGCUGGCACCUAACAAUGAAGCUUUAUGAUAAAUAAUGAUGGCAACAAAUUGCCAGGAGAUGAUCUGUCCAGUGCACUACCUGGGGCAUUUUAGUCAGAAGGCAAAUAUUCUAACAGAAAUACAGUCUUGCUCAGCUAGUCCCAAGACUGGUCUUUCAAGACAGCCACACUCAGGCCUGUUUAUGCGCUCCUCUGCCUGCUUUGGCUCGUGGCAUGGCACUGAGCAGCAUCCCAAGAAGCUGAGGGAAGCAGCAGGCAGGAGUAGGCUUUCCCUCCUGGCCCCACAAAACAAGGACAAAGGCGCAGGACUGCAUUUUCCUGCCAACUGUGUGUGUACAUGUACGCUCACAUGGAGAAAUCCUGACUUCAGUCUAGAAGACAAGCUCAAGGAGGGCAGGAACUCUGCUUUCUCGCCAACCAUUUACUCAGCGCCUGGUGUCUGCCUGGCACAGUGUCCUCAGUUGGGGGAGACUGACAGUACAUCUGGAUGUGAAGGGAGCCCAUCUGGUCCUUGGCUGUCACCUGUCCAUGCUGGCGCCCUCUACCGAGUCUUCAUUCCUAGGAGUCACCAAUUGUCAGCAUCUCUGCGCUCUGGCAUCCACAGGGGCAGCUGAGUUCCCAUCUGGCCUUUGAUAUAAAAACAGUGGGGACAUCUGCUCUUGGGCCCCUCCUCCCCAUACAAAGCACCUCCCAAUGUGCCAGGCCUCCUUGAGAUCCUCCUGACCCAUCUCAGACAAGCAAGCUCACAUGCACUUCUGACCACUGUGGGCUGUGGGACACUCAGGCCUGACCUGCUUAUGCUAGGAUCUCUUCUCCCCAGUUUGCACACCAGGGCAGAGGGUGAGACAACCUCAGACCUUUUUCACUUUCCUGGGACCUCCUGGGAAGACAAGGCAAACAGACCCUCACAGCCCUUGAGCCCCCCAUUCAGCCCAAAACAGGGGCUAGAUAUACAACAGCAUUUCCCCUCUUUGACCUCAUUCCCAGCCCACUGGGAUCUUCAUCUAUCAAACUAAACAGGAAAAAUGCUGACUCGAUAUGUAGGAGCAAAGGACAUUUAUUUUUGAAUGUACAUACAUUAAUUAAAUUUAUUAAUACACAAAAUCUAUUUAAGGUACAUUAAUACUUCAAAAAUACCAUUUGGUCAUACCUCCUUGUCAUCCUGGGAAGUUUGCAUCCAAUUCACUCAUCAGCAGGAAGAAAAAUCACAUUAAAAACUAGACACAAUAUGACAGGUUUUUAUUCUAAUAGUGGAAAUAGCAGAGCUCAUUUUUUCUCUUCUAUCACCUUUUAUACAUUUUUCAAAUUUCUACUUUGAACUUUUUGCUUUACAUUUCUAUAGUAAACACAUCUAGAAAAUACUCAAUUAAAUCUCUGCUGAAAAGAAAAGGCAUAAAAGAAAAGAUUGAUGAAUCCAAUGACAUCCAAUUUUAAAUUUAAGUAAGAUACAAAAAAACUCCACAAAGAAAAUCAGACAAAUGACCAAAAGACAAAAGAAAGAAAUUUCUCACAUAUGACAGAAAGAGUUCAGGAAAAAGAUGGAUACAAUAGGCACACUUUAUAAAUAGCCUGUUAAGAAAAAAACAAAAGCAAUAGCCAAAAACAUAAGAAACACCUCACUCAAUUACAGAAAUGCAAACUAAAACAAAACUGACAUGUCAUUUUUACUUACCAGAUUUGCAAAGUGUAAAAAAUGUAUAAACUUAGUAAUUGGUUAGGGUUUAAUUGGUUAAGGAUGGAUAUUAUACUAUUCCUGAGAAUAUAAAUUUGAAUAACUUAAAAGACAUUUGGAAAAUGGAUCAAAAUUUUGAAUGUAUUUCUAGGAACCCUUUGAAAAAGUAAACCAACCAAAUGAGAUAUGAACAAGGGUAUAAACAAAGAUAAUCAUUGUAGGAGUGUCCGUAACAGUCAAAAAAGAGGGGAAAAGGGUGGAAACAAACUAAAGAACUAUUAAAAUGAGAUUGCUUAAAUAAAUUAUAGUACAUCAAUAUAAUCAAAUGCCAUAUAAUUAAAACAAACAUGAAGUGAUGUGUCAUAUUUUAAUAUGGAAAAUUCUCUAAUAUAUUAACUGAAAAGACAAUAUAUAGGACAGGGUGAACAGUAUAAUAAUCCUUUUCAUGUAAAUAAAAAAUAUGUUCUAUAAAUAUCAGUGCUUAUGUAUUCACAAACUGUUUUUUGGGAAAUAUAAUAGAGUAUUAACCAAUAAAAUAA